rnacentral:rRNA from 1 species
AUUGAACGCUGGCGGCAGGCCUAACACAUGCAGGUCGAGCGGAUGAAGGGAGCUUGCUCCUGGAUUCAGCGGCGGACGGGUGAGUAAUGCCUAGGAAUCUGCCUGGUAGUGGGGGAUAACGUCCGGAAACGGGCGCUAAUACCGCAUACGUCCUGAGGGAGAAAGUGGGGGAUCUUCGGACCUCACGCUAUCAGAUGAGCCUAGGUCGGAUUAGCUAGUUGGUGGGGUAAAGGCCUACCAAGGCGACGAUCCGUAACUGGUCUGAGAGGAUGAUCAGUCACAGAUGAACUGAGACACGGUCCAGGCUCCUACGGGAGGCAGCAGUGGGGAAUAUUGGACAAUGGGUGAAGGCCUGAUCCAGCCAUGCCGGGUGGGAGAAGAAGGUCUUAGGAUUGUAAAGCACGUUAAGUUGGGAGGAAGGGCAGUAAGUUAAUACCUUGCUGUUCUGACGGUACCAACAGAAGAAGCACCGGCUAACUUCGUG